rnacentral:misc_RNA from 1 species
AACGCACCUUGCGCCCUUUGGUAUUCCGAAGGGCAUGCCUGUUUGAGUGUCAUUAAAUUAUCAAACUCGCGAUUUUCGUUCGCGCAGUUUUGGAAUUUGGAGCGUGCGGGAUUCUUCGCUCGAAGGACUCCGCUUCUCUUGAAACGCAUCAGCGAGAUUUAUUUCGAGCUCGCCCCCCCAGCGUGAUAAUUAUCUACGUCGGUCGGGCGAUCGAACACGCGACGAUCUCUGCUUACAAUCGUCUGCCCGUUCAGACAAACUUUAUGACGAUUUUGGCCUCAAAUCAGGUAGGACUACCCGCUGAACUUAA